rnacentral:rRNA from 1 species
UACAGAGGUCUCAAGCGUUGUUCGGAUUCAUUGGGCGUAAAGGGUGCGUAGGCGGCGCGGUAAGUCGGGUGUGAAAUCUUGGAGCUUAACUCCGAAACUGCAUUCGAUACUGCCGUGCUUGAGGACUGGAGAGGAGACUGGAAUUUACGGUGUAGCGGUGAAAUGCGUAGAUAUCGUAAGGAAGACCAGUGGCGAAGGCGGGUCUCGU